CAGCACUGAUGUUAGAGCUGGGUUGUACAGACUAUUUGGCUUCAGUAACUCUGCUCUGUCAAUCAUCUUGAGGAGACUGUGCUGGUUUCUGUAUGUUGUAUGCCCAGCAUAAUCUGCUGUAGAAAUUUUCCCUAUGGGACCCAGCUCUGCACUUCCCUGGAGUGAAGGAGGCUUUUUGGACUAAACCCCCCCCAAAAACUCUUCUAUUUAGAAGCAAUGGCUCAGCUCCCCAACCUGUUGUAAAUCCAAGUCUCCGCAGUGGAGCUGUUCUGAUUUACUCCAGCUGAAGGCUUGGCCUCUAGUUCAGAAGAAAUGGGCUGCCAGUUUAAUUACUUUAUCACAGCUACUCCAGGGGAGAAGAGCCCUGUAUCAUAUAUAAAAGGCAGGUAAGCACAUAGAAAUUAAUAAGAAAGACAAAUUUAUGUUCCCCUCUGCAUUCUAAGGUGGCAUCAGUUAAUCCAAUGAGCAUUCCUGGCAACUAGGUAUUUAUCAGCCAGACAGAUUAAAUGUUUUAGUGAAUCUAGUGAAAUGCUUGUGGGACCAUUCAUUAAGCAGUAUUCAAGCUAUCAGUCCUCACCUACGUUACUUACUAACCAUAAUGUCCUAUCAUUUUGGUCUGUCCCCUCCAGUUUGCCCUUCCACAACUUUUCGUAUCAGCUUCUUUCUCCCUGCCUGUGAAAGGCAAUUGUUUCUCAUGGAGCUAUCCAUAACUUCCAUCAGCUUCUCAUUCCAUUAUUCCUUAUGUACAGCAUGUUCUCUCCUUGCCUGUGGUCUGUCCAGGUAGCCAAGCCUGAGACCAGGUCCUGUCAUCUGC